GACUGAUAGCUGUCCUUCAUGACAACAGAACUUCAACAAUGGCUUUGAUUAUGAGAUUCUUGUGGAUAUUGAUGUUCUUAAUUCAGGAAUCCAGAGGACAGGUCACUGUGACACAGACUCCUACAGUGAAAACUGUUCUCCCAGGACAGAAAGUCUCUAUGAUCUGUAAAGCCAGCAGUAAUGUGUAUAGUAAUUGUCACAAUGGUCAGUCAUCGGGCCAUCAGUGUCUAUCCUGGUACCAACAGAAACCAGGAGAAAAACCCAAACUAACGAUGCUUCCAGGGAACACACUCCAUUCUGGGACUCCAUCUAGAUUCAGUGGCAGUGGAUCAGGGAGUGACUUCACUCUGACCAUCAGUGGAGUCCAGGCUGAAGAUGCAGGAGAUUACUACUGUCAGAGUUUACACACAGACUGGCUUGGUAGCACCUUUUGGUCCACAGUGAUACAGAGUCGUACAAAAACCUCCCUCAGUCAGACUGUACAGUGACUGUACUGAUACAGCUGGGACCUACUGCAGGUGAUGAGGGGAAGAGACAGUGACAUGGAACACUGAUCAGUAGAGGAGGUCAUUUUUGAAUAUGUUUAGAAAGUAUCAUUCAGAUCACAUGUUCCUCAUCAUCAUCAUCAUCAUUAUCUUUGUUAUCAAGGUUGAGACUAGUUAUGUUUGUCAUGGCCUGAAAGUUCACUUAUAAAAGUUAGACGUUUUGAAAAGCAUUUAUUUUACAUUUUUAUUUAAUUGGACUAUUUUCCCAGAUUAGUCUCAUUGAGAUUAAACAUCUAUUUUACAAGA